AUUGAACGCUGGCGGCAGGCCUAACACAUGCAAGUCGAACGGUAACAGGAAGCAGCUUGCUGCUUCGCUGACGAGUGGCGGACGGGUGAGUAAUGUCUGGGAAACUGCCUGAUGGAGGGGGAUAACUACUGGAAACGGUAGCUAAUACCGCAUAACGUCGCAAGACCAAAGAGGGGGACCUUCGGGCCUCUUGCCAUCGGAUGUGCCCAGAUGGGAUUAGCUAGUAGGUGGGGUAACGGCUCACCUAGGCGACGAUCCCUAGCUGGUCUGAGAGGAUGACCAGCCACACUGGAACUGAGACACGGUCCAGACUCCUACGGGAGGCAGCAGUGGGGAAUAUUGCACAAUGGGCGCAAGCCUGAUGCAGCCAUGCCGCGUGUAUGAAGAAGGCCUUCGGGUUGUAAAGUACUUUCAGCGGGGAGGAAGGCGAUAAGGUUAAUAACCUUGUCGAUUGACGUUACCCGCAGAAGAAGCACCGGCUAACUCCGUGCCAGCAGCCGCGGUAAUACGGAGGGUGCAAGCGUUAAUCGGAAUUACUGGGCGUAAAGCGCACGCAGGCGGUCUGUCAAGUCGGAUGUGAAAUCCCCGGGCUCAACCUGGGAACUGCAUUCGAAACUGGCAGGCUAGAGUCUUGUAGAGGGGGGUAGAAUUCCAGGUGUAGCGGUGAAAUGCGUAGAGAUCUGGAGGAAUACCGGUGGCGAAGGCGGCCCCCUGGACAAAGACUGACG
rnacentral:rRNA from 4 species